rnacentral:rRNA from 1 species
AAUCAACGCUGGCGGCGUGCCUCAGACAUGCAAGUCGAACGAGAAAAGUUUCCUUCGGGGAGACGAGUACAGUGGCGUCCGGGUGAGUAACACGUGGGUAAUUUACCUUUGGGUGGGGAAUAGCAGCCGGAAACGGCUAUUAAUACCGCAUAAUGCAGCGGCUCGACAUCGAGACAGUUGUUAAAGCGGGGAUCUGACAAGGACCUCGCGCCUAAAGAGAAGCCUGCGUCAGAUAGCUAGUUGGUAGGUAAUGGCCUACCAAGGCUGUGAUCUGUAGCCGGCCUGAGGAGGGCGGUCGACCACACUGACACUG